rnacentral:rRNA from 1 species
AUUGAACGCUGGCGGCAGGCCUAACACAUGCAAGUCGAACGAGUGGCGGACGGGUGAGUAAUGUCUGGGAAACUGCCUGAUGGAGGGGGAUAACUCCUGGAAACGGUAGCUAAUACCGCAUACCAUCGGAUGUGCCCAGAUGGGAUUAGCUAGUAGGUGGGGUAAAGGCUCACCUCGGCGACGAUCCCUAGCUGGUCUGAGAGGAUGACCAGGCACACUGGAACUGUGACAAGGUCCAGACUCGGACGUGAGGCAGCAGUGGGGAAUAGUGCACAAUGGGCGCAAGCCUGAGGCAGCCAUGCCGCGUGGAUGAAGAAGGCCUUCGGGUUGUAAAGUACUUUCAGCGGGGAGGCGUGACCCGCAGAAGAAGCACCGGCGAACUCCGUGCCAGCAGCCGCGGUAAUAC